rnacentral:rRNA from 1 species
GUGAAGCUUAAACUAAACUAUUAAACCAUAUAAUAACUACUUUCGGUUGGGGCGACCUUGGAAAAAAAAAGAACUUCCAAACAUAUGACCUUCAUCAUACUAAAUGGCACACAAGCCAACAAACGACCCAGCACAGCUGACUAAUGAACCAAGUUACUCCAGGGAUAACAGCGCAAUCCUCUUCAAGAGCCCAUAUCAAAAAGAGGGUUUACGACCUCGAUGUUGGAUCAGGA